rnacentral:rRNA from 1 species
UUUAAAGCGAAUAAGGGCGCAUGGUGAAUGCCUAGGGUCUGAGAGGCGAUGAAGGACGUGGUAAGCUGCGAUAAGCUACGGGGAGAUGCACACGAUCGUUAUAUCCGUAGAUUUCCGAAUGGGACAACCUGGCAUAUUGAAGAUAUGUCACUCGAAAGAGAGCCAACCCCGAGAACUGAAACAUCUAAGUACCGGGAGGAAAAGAAAACAAUAGUGAUUCCCCAAGUAGUGGCGAGCGAACAGGGAAUAGCCCAAACCGGGUCGGCGUGCCGAUCCGGGGUUAUAGGACCACAUUUAGAAGCCGUUAUCAAAUCGAAUCAACUGGAAAGUUGAGCCAUAGCAGGUGAUAGCCCUGUAGAUACAAAUUAACGGGGACGAGUGGUAUCCUGAGUAAUGCGGGACCGGAGGAAUCUUGCAUGAAGUUGCCAGCACCAUCUGGUAAGGCUAAAUACUCCUCAGACACCGAUAGUGAACCAGUACCGUAAGGGAAAGGUGAAAAGCACCCCGAACAGGGGAGUGAAAUAGUACCUGAAACCGUGCGCCUACAAGCGGUCGGAGCAUUG